rnacentral:rRNA from 1 species
AGAAGAGCUCGCGUCCGAUUAGUUAGUUGGUGAGGUAAGAGCUCACCAAGGCAGCGAUCGGUAGCUGGUCUGAGAGGAUGAGCAGCCACACUGGGACUGAGACACGGCCCAGACUCCUACGGGAGGCAGCAGUGGGGAAUUUUCCGCAAUGGGCGAAAGCCUGACGGAGCAACGCCGCGUGUGGGAAGAAGGCUCUUGGGCUGUCAACCACUUUUCUCAGGGAAGAAGAUCUGACGGUACCUGAGGAAUCAGCCUCGGCUAACUCCGUGCCAGCAGCCGCGGUAAUACGGAGGAGGCAAGCGUUAUCCGGAAUUAUUGGGCGUAAAGCGUCCGCAGGGGGCGCAUCAAGUCUGCUGUUAAAGGUCGGAGCUUAACUCCGGUAGAGCAGUGGAAACUGGUGCGCUAGAGGGCGACAGGGGUAGAGGGAAUUCCCAGUGUAGCGGUGAAAUGCGUAGAGAUUGGGAAGAACACCGGUGGCGAAAGCGCUCUAAUGGGUCGCACCUGACCCUCAGGGACGAAAGCUAAGGUAGCGAAAGGGAUUAGAUACCCCUGUAGUUGACCCUCAGGGACGAAAGCUAAGGUAGCGAAAGGGAUUAGAUACCCCUGUAGU